UGCUGUAUUGAGUUUGUCUCCAGAGCUCAAUUUUGGAGAAGGUUGAUAUUAGAUCUGGCCUGUUCAUUAGGUAUAGGUUCGCGGGGUUUCGAUUGACGAAUCGGUUGAUGGGGAUUAUAUCGUCGUAGAUGGCCUUCAGCUCACCGAGCGUCGAAGGCUUGAGGGAGUCCAGCGAAACCAGCACAACGAGCUUGGCUUUGGAGCCCGAGUCUCGCAGCGAAUGGGCGAGCACCAUUGCACCUAAAAAACCGCGACAUCAUGAUAAGCAGAGGGGGGGAAAAAAGGCAACUGUUCAUCGUGAACAACACGUCUAGCUCUCGGAUAUCUCGUAUUUAUUUACCUGGGAGGUAAUUAUCGCUGAGCAGCAUCUAGACGCAGAGUCCGCUUCACCCAUGUCCGCCAUGACCAGCAGGCAGUGGCAAAGACCGCGAUUGGCGCCUAAGGCCCGAAGAAGAUGGGAAAUAUGACGGAUGAGGAAGGGUUUUCGACAAAAAUCACGGUUUCCGAUGGGAAGUUGGUGAACCCGUCUUCUGCGGAACUCGCCUGAUGUGCUACUGGCGUCUGUACAUGGAUCGCACUCCGCCGAGAAAGACAAACACGGGGAUGACUUUUAUCUGAGCCAUUGGCAGCGACAUAUGAGAGAAAAGCAGAAGAGGGGCAGUCCAGCCUGGAAUCCCGACAGCGAACGCGCUGUAUCACAACAGGGGCGUUGAAUUAGUUAGCUAGCUAGUUAACAGUUAGCAAAAAAUGACAUAAUUCGAGAAGAGACGGCACGAAAGCUGCGCUAAUGCAGCUGAUAUUUACUUGGCGGCCAAAUGAUGGCAAUGUUCACGGAGGAUUCAAUUCCAUCCAAGACAGAGAAAGCAGAUACACACAUGUCUCAUGAGGAGUUGUUGAUUACUUCUGCAACGCAAUAAUGGCAAAUACAAUUGUUUCUCGUAGCUAACUUGCCGCAAAAUCCAAUUCCAACAUAAAUGAACAUGUCAUGAUAAAUCGCUUCCCAAUUCCACCCAGAUUCAAUAAAGCAGGAAACAAGCCAGGAAACAAGCCAGGAAACAAGCAAGGAAACCGACAAACACCUCCCUCCAAUUCCUCUCUUCCCUUCUCCAAUCCACAAUCCGUAAGCUCAAGGCCACUCAGUAUCAUUCCCAUCCCAUCCAUCCAUCCAUUCAUUUCCUCACGGUCACAACCGCGCCAGGAUACACCUCAGCAACCACUGCGCCGACAUCAC
rnacentral:sRNA from 1 species